GGGGCUGUAUAUGGUUUCGACAGGAAUACCUAGCUUUAAGCUGCAAGUCGAAGGCACUCGUUACGUGCAAAAUAAAAAUAACUGGAAACAAAAUUAAAAAUGCAUUUGCUUCAUUAUUCAGAAGUAAUAGUGUAGCCUUAGCUGCUUAAUAGUCAGAAAUGCAAUUCUCUAUUAUCUUUUCUUGCGUAGAUUAUAGGGGAUUCGAUUUUAGCAAGAUAUAUCAUUAUUUAGCUUAGAAAUAGUGAUGAAAAAUUAUAAGCUUACUAAUUUAUAGGUUGUUGGUUACUUUUAUACAUUAGGAAUUUUAUUAACUAACUAAACUUGUAGAUGCUUACUGUGUAGUAUUUUUGGACAGGAGUUCGACUCUCCUCAGCUCCACCA
rnacentral:tmRNA from 1 species